GGAUGGUGGCUGCUCAUUGGGAUUAGAUUCACAAUCUCUGGUUCCCGUAAAUACUGUCGAUGCUCAUGAAUUCUGGCCGGGGCAGUUUGUACUUGAGCGGGGUGCUUGUGAUGACCCACACAUUACUGGAAACCAAAAAUGGGGCGUAAUAAGUGCUGUGGAUGUGAAGGAACGGACUGUAAGGGUGAAAUGGAAUCAGGCUAAUAAUGCGUGUGCCAACCAGGUGGAGGAAAUUGUGAGUGCUUAUGAGCUGGUUGAGCAUCCAGAUUACACUUAUUGUUACGGUGACAUUGUAUUUAAAAAUGUAGAACAAGACGAUACGUGUCAUCUGAACAAUGAGAUUAGCAUGAUUGAAGAUGUUGAUCUUAAAGGCAGGGACUGUAGAAGAGUUCAGAUUAAUUACCCUUAUAAUGGUUACUUGUCCUGUAUUGGCUAUG
rnacentral:misc_RNA from 1 species